UACGAGGGGGGCAAGCGUUGUUCGGAAUUAUUGGGCGUAAAGGGUGCGUAGGCGGUUUGGUAAGUCUUAUGUGAAAUCUACAGGCUCAACUUGUAGUCUGCAUGAGAAACUGCCGGGCUUGAGUAUGGGAGAGGUGAGUGGAAUUCCUGGUGUAGCGGUGAAAUGCGUAGAUAUCAGGGGGAACACCUGUGGCGAAAGCGGCUCACUGGACCAUAACUGACGCUGAUGCACGAAAGCUAGGGGAGCAAACAGG
rnacentral:rRNA from 1 species